AAGAUCCCAGGAUCAACUAUUACUCCUAAAUUGUAUUUAUGCUGAAUUGUUAAGCCUGUCAAACUAAUGCUAACAGCUUUUAACUGAAAAUAAUUGUUUUUGCUGUCUUUUUGUUCUACCUCUUUGUUUCUCUCAGCAUAUGAAGUGGGAUGCCUCAAGUAAAUCAGAGAAACUUUUUCACUAAAAGGACGAAGGAACUCAAACCUGCUGUCCAAAGUGCUCCUGGCUGGAAGUUGUUUGGAAAAGUCCCACCCAGGGAAAAUCUUCAGAAAGAUUCCAAAAUAAUUCAGCAGGAUGACAGUUCUGGCAGUCUUGCGUCAAUAUCUGCUCUCAGUCUAUUAAACACAGGGGUAUGGAAUUUAAUAUUUUUUUCUAGUUGCAUUAAUGCCAUGCAUGGGACUGUAUAGCACUCAUUAAAAAUAGAACAACAUCACAUUUCCACAGUAGCAUGAAUAUUUUAUGGCACUAACCAUCAACUCAUUAGAUACCAUUAGUUUAAAAAAG
rnacentral:lncRNA from 1 species